CGUAGGGUGCGAGCGUUAAUCGGAAUUACUGGGCGUAAAGCGUGCGCAGGCGGUUUUGUAAGACAGAUGUGAAAUCCCCGGGCUCAACCCGGGACCUGCAUUUGUGACUGCAAGGCUAGAGUACGGUAGAGGGGGAUGGAAUUCCGCGUGUAGCAGUGAAAUGCGUAGAUAUGCGGAGGAACACCGAUGGCGAAGGCAAUCCCCUGGACCUGUACUGACGCUCAUGCACGAAAGCGUGGGGAGCAAACAGGAUUAGAUACCCUGGUAGUCCACGCCCUAAACGAUGUCAACUGGUUGUUGGGUCUUUACUGACUCAGUAACGAAGCUAACGCGUGAAGUUGACCGCCUGGGGAGUACGGCCGCAAGGUUG
rnacentral:rRNA from 1 species